rnacentral:lncRNA from 1 species
AUGUAUGAUGUGCAUCAGGUUGGAUGUCCUCUAGCGGAUGCUGUUUGUCAGGUUGGAUGUCCUCUAGCGGAUGCUGUUUGUCAGAUUGGAUGUCAGGUUGGAUGUCCUCUAGCGGAUGCUGUGGGUCAGGGUUGGAUGUCAGGAUGGAUGUCCGGUAGCGGAUGCUGUGGGUCAGGUUGGAUGUCUUCUAUCGGAUGAUGUGCAGGUAUCUGAGCUCAGGAUAUAGUAGGUUAGCUAACAGUGAGAGCAGACGGGGGCCGUCCUUCAGACAGUGUCCUGGGUAACGGAUGAACUGCAGAGCCUUCUUCAGUGCUUCUGAUGACUCAGCGUAUUGUUUGCUGCUCAGCAUGGAUUCCAACAAACUCAGAGUCUAGAUACACAAAGAAGAAAAUAAAGCAAUCAGAAGAGCUAAAAGACA